rnacentral:rRNA from 1 species
AGUGAACGCUGGCGGUAGGCCUAACACAUGCAAGUCGAACGGCAGCACAGUAAGAGCUUGCUCUUACGGGUGGCGAGUGGCGGACGGGUGAGGAAUACAUCGGAAUCUACUUUUUCGUGGGGGAUAACGUAGGGAAACUUACGCUAAUACCGCAUACGACCUACGGGUGAAAGCAGGGGAUCUUCGGACCUUGCGCGAUUGAAUGAGCCGAUGUCGGAUUAGCUAGUUGGCGGGGUAAAGGCCCACCAAGGCGACGAUCCGUAGCUGGUCUGAGAGGAGGAUCAGCGACACUGGAACUGAGACACGGUCCAGACUCAUACGGGAGGCAGCAGUGGGGAAUAUUGGACAAUGGGCGCAAGCCUGAUCCAGCCAUACCGCGUGGGUGAAGAAGGCCUUCGGGUUGUAAAGCCGUUUUGUUGGGAAAGAAAAGCAGCAGGUUAAUACCCCGCUGUUCUGACGGUACCAAAAGAAUAAGCACCGGCUAACUUCGUG